CUUUGCCUUGCUACUUUCCACCAUGAGUGCUUCAGAUUAGAGACGGGUACAAAGUGCUGGGUUGGUGAUGUGUUCAUUCUUCAGAUCCACAGCUGUUCCACAGAUGCACCAACUUCCCUGCCCAACCUCCUCCAGUGUGUGUCCACUCAGAAGCAGUGUCCUGAACCUCCCUGCCCCACCACUUCCUCUGUGAAUGCCCACCAGAGGAGGUGGGGGGUGGGAAGCUGUGGCGCCUGUGGAACACUGGUGUGUCAGAUGGUCAGAACAUCUGCAGAAUGCCAGACAUCAGACCCUAUGUGGAACAUCUGCAGAAUGCCAGAUGUCAGACCCUAUGUGGAACAUCUGCAUGUCAGAUGGUCGGAACAUCUGCAGAAUGCCAGAUGUCAGACCCUAUGUGGAACAUCUGCAUGUCAGAUGGUCGGAACAUCUGCAGAAUGCCAGAUGUCAGACCCUAUGUGGAACAUCUGCAUGUCAGAUGGUCGGAACAUCUGCAGAAUGCCAGAUGUCAGACCCUAUGUGGAACAUCUGCAUGUCAGAUGGUCGGAACAUCUGCAGAAUGCCAGAUGUCAGACCCUAUGUGGAACAUCUGCAUGUCAGAUGGUCGGAACAUCUGCAGAAUGCCAGAUGUCAGACCCUAUGUGGAACAUCUGCAUGUCAGAUGGUCGGAACAUCUGCAGAAUGCCAGAUGUCAGACCCUAUGUGGAACAUCUGCAUGUCAGAUGGUCAGAACAUCUGGAGAAUGCCAGAUUUCAGACCCUAUGUGGAACAUCUGUGUGCCAGAUGUUCAGAACAUCUGCAGAAUGCCAGCUGUCAGACCCUAUGCAGAACAUCUGCAUGUCGGAUGGUCAGAACAUCUGCAUGUCACUGGGCCAAACCAGUGGUUCAUGCCCAUCAGAUUUCUUGGGGGUUGGGGGAGAGGAGAUGGCAGAAGGGUUGCACUGACGUAUUUGCUCAGCAACUAUUCCCAAAAUUCUUUACUAAAAAUAUUUCCCAGUAUUCACUUCAUGUAAGAACUUACUCUAUCAGUGAGGCAUGUUGGAGGUGAUUCCCGUAACUAUUACUUACUGCCAUAUAAAAUUAGAUAAUAAUACUGGGAACCAAGACUGGAUAUGUUUUGUACCUCACCACAGUAAUAUACUUA
rnacentral:lncRNA from 1 species